rnacentral:rRNA from 1 species
AUGGGACGACCAAUUGCGCGAUUCGGAUGUGGGCUUCGGCUGGUAAUUAACUUCAUUAGGGGGGGAGAGGAUGUGAAGAAGCAACUUCCUCGAUUGACUGACGCAGCCGACGAAGCACUCUCUAACUCAGUCCCAGCAACCAAGGUAGGAAGGAGGGUGGAAGCGCGAAUAGGUAAUACUUGCUGGGAGUAACGCGCGCGCGGUCGCUUAAUACAGACGGAUAGUCACCGCCCUGAACUAAGAAGGGACAUUCGAAAGAAACUGGCUGGAUUGUGUUUGAGGGAGGGGGAUAGACAGGCGGAGCGGGCAAAGAAGUGGAGAGAGGUAGGGAGGCCGGCCGGGAGGGAGGCCGCCCCCACGGAGGAAGACGGUCGGUCAGGUAAGCAAGCGGAGGAAACAAGCAGGGUUAGCUACCUAGGCCACGCACGCAACGAAGGAGAUCGAGUGGGAGGUCCUUCCCUGGAGGAGUUGCUUCCGGAGCUAGCGCGUUAAAUCGACCGCGUGGGGAGUACGCCCGCAAGGUUCAAACUUGAAUUGAUUGACGGGGGCCCGCACGGGCGGUGGAGCAUGUGGUUUAAUUCGAUGCAACGCGAAGAUACUUACCUACUCUUGACAUCCCGGAAAGCAGAGAGAGAUUUUGUCCUUCCUUCGGGAAUAGACAGACAGGUGCUGCAUGGCUGUCGCCAGCUCGUGUUGUGAAAUGUUGGGUUAACGCCCGCAACGAGCGCAACCCUUUUCCUUUGUUGCCAGCGAUUCGGUCGGGAACUCAAAGGAGACUGCCGGUGAUAAACCGGAGGAAGGUAUGGAUGACGUCAAGCCAGCAUGGCCCUUACGAGUAGGGCUACACACGUGCUACAAUGGCGCAUACAAAGAGAAGCGACCUCGCGAGAGCAAACGGACCUCAUAAAGUGCGUCGUAGUAUCGGUCGGAGCAUGCAACUCGCGUCCGUGAAGUCGGAAUCGCUAGUAAUCGUCGAACAGAAUGCCUCGGUAAAUACCUGCCCGGGCCAUGUACACACCGCCCCUCACACCAAGGGAGUGGGAAAAAAAAGAAGUAGGGUUAUCCCCCGCGAGGACGGCGCCUAC